AACGAACGCUGGCGGCGUGCCUAACACAUGCAAGUCGAACGCGAACGGGUCUUCGGACCCUAGUAGAGUGGCGCACGGGUGAGUAACACGUGGGCAAUCUACCCAGGGAUUUGGGAUAACCAGGGGAAACCCUGGCUAAUACCGAAUACGUCCAUGAGGCCUUCGGUCCUCAUGGAGAAAGGUGGCCUCUUCUCGAAAGCUGCCGUUCCUGGAUGAGCCCGCGGACCAUUAGCUUGUUGGUGAGGUAACGGCUCACCAAGGCCAUGAUGGUUAGCUGGUCUGAGAGGAUGAUCGGCCACACUGGGACUGACACACGGCCCAGACUCCUACGGGAGGCAGCAGUGGGGAAUCUUGCGCAAUGGGGGAAACCCUGACGCAGCAACGCCGCGUGGGUGAUGAAGGCCCUUGGGUCGUAAAGCCCUGUCUGGAGGAAAGAAUCCCGCUCUCGCUAAUAUCGGGAGUGGAUGACGGUACCUCUGAAGGAAGCACCGGCUAACUCCGUGCCAG
rnacentral:rRNA from 1 species